rnacentral:rRNA from 1 species
AUUGAACGCUGGCGGCAGGCUUAACACAUGCAAGUCGAGCGGGGUGAUGGUGCUUGCACUAUCACUUAGCGGCGGACGGGUGAGUAAUGCUUAGGAAUCUGCCUAUAGUGGGGGACAACAUCUCGAAAGGGAUGCUAAUACCGCAUACGUCCUACGGGAGAAAGCAGGGGAUCACUUGUGACCUUGCGCUAAUAGAUGAGCCUAAGUCGGAUUAGCUAGUUGGUGGGGUAAAGGCCUACCAAGGCGACGAUCUGUAGCGGGUCUGAGAGGAUGAGACGCCACACUGGGACUGAGACACGGCCCAGACUCCUACGGGAGGCAGCAGUGGGGAAUAUUGGACAAUGGGGGGAACCCUGAUCCAGCCGUGCCGCGUGUGUGAAGAAGGCCUUAUGGUUGUAAAGCACUUUAAGCGAGGAGGAGGCUCUUUUGGUUAAUACCCAAGAUGAGUGGACGUUACUCGCAGAAUAAGCACCGGCUAACUCUGUGCCAGCCGCCGCCGUAA